rnacentral:rRNA from 1 species
UACGAAGGGGGCUAGCGUUGUUCGGAAUUACUGGGCGUAAAGCGCACGUAGGCGGACUAUUAAGUCAGGGGUGAAAUCCCGGGGCUCAACCCCGGAACUGCCUUUGAUACUGGUAGUCUCGAGUCCGGAAGAGGUGAGUGGAAUUCCGAGUGUAGAGGUGAAAUUCGUAGAUAUUCGGAGGAACACCAGUGGCGAAGGCGGCUCACUGGUCCGGUACUGACGCUGAGGUGCGAAAGCGUGAGGAGCAAACAGG